CAAAGGCGUGAACAGAGUGUGAGAAAUCUCGUUCGUCGGCAAAAUUUGUCGUCGAUUGUUCUGCGCCCUGCCCCUAAGUUGCUCCCGCUUAGAAGAUGCAGUUAUUUCACGGGCAAUAGAGCGUCCAAUGCGCGGCCCGUAACAUUGCGCGCAUAAAGGCACAUAGAACGAACGUAGCAAAAUGCGAGUCGUUACAUUUUGUUCGAAAUGACUUCGAAACCUGAUAAGGGACUCAUGAAAUGCUGGCGCAUUACAGACACAGCCACCUUCACUAGUCAGAAGAGUAUGCCAUCGGCUCCUAAUGCCAACUGUCCGCAGGGCCGAUGACAGAAGAGGCGAGACUGAAAAAGCCUGCACCGAACACGCCUACUCUCUUUUCUCCUUGACUGCUUUGGCAAACAGUCCGGAAAUCACAGCAGACUCAGCGACCAGCGAGCUGGCAGCGGACAACAGCUAUCUGCGACAAUGACUCACUCACUCUUCAGCAAGCAGGGCGGAAAAGCGCCCACAAAGAGCUUGCCGCGAGCGGCUGGUCGAAGAGGCAAGGAUGGCGCGGGAUCUUGACUCAAGUUCUUCUCCAGUAUGCGUUCGCACGAAACCGGUAGCACAACCUUCAUAGUCAAGUGCGCUGCCCCACGGCUUCAGCAGUGCGUUUGAAUUUGUUCCUGAAAAUCCAUACUUUAACACUUUACUUCUGGAUUUGAAAACCGCUGAAGUCCAUAUUUAUAGGUUCAGUAUUGGCUUCGACAACCACUCCCGGUGGUGUUCUAUAUACCAUCGACCUUACUCUGGUGACACGCCGUGCCUAUAGCACACGAUAGGCACCACGUGCCACAAGCCUGUUUUCAUGCACCUACUUUACUGACCAGAUUUCCUGCCUCUAAGUUGACCUGUAUUCCAUCCUGAUUAUUAUGUACACUAACCUGGUGUGGUGCUCUUUAUUGUGCUUUCUUAUAUACACGUAUUUUGUCACUGCUUGAAUAUUGAUAUGA